AUGACGGGGAUGAUGGAGUCGGUGAAGGCGAGGCCGGCGGCGGCGGCGAAGUGCGGCAGCGAGUACCGGCGGGUGGAGCCGGAGGAGGAGGAGGAGCUGGACGGGGCGGAGUGGGCGCGCAGGGCCGAGGCCGGGAGCCGCCGGCGGAAGACGGCCGAGCGGUACGUCUUCACCUGCGCUCUCUUCGCCUCGCUCAACGCCAUCCUCCUCGGCUACGAUGUCGGUGUCAUGAGUGGUGCAAUCAUCUACAUCCAGAAAGAUCUCCACAUUACCGAGUUUCAGGAAGAAAUCCUAGUUGGUUGCCUCAGUGUGAUCUCACUCUUGGGAAGCCUGUCAGGAGGAAGAACUUCCGAUGCCAUCGGCAGGAAAUGGACAAUGGGCCUUGGUGCGAUCAUCUUCCAGACUGGUGCAGCCAUCAUGACAUUCGCUCCUUCAUUCACUGUGCUCAUGAUAGGGAGGCUUCUCGCCGGGGUGGGCAUCGGCUUUGGAGCCAUGAUAUCUGCUGUCUACAUUGCCGAGAUCUCCCCCGCAGCUGCCCGUGGGACUCUCACGUCCCUCCCUGAGAUCUGCAUCAACUUGGGGAUCCUCCUGGGCUACGUUUCCAAUUAUGCUUUCUCGGGCCUUUCCGAGCACAUCAGUUGGAGGGUUAUGCUUGGUGUCGGUAUCCUCCCAUCUGUCUUCAUCGGUGUCGCGCUUUUUGUGAUCCCGGAGUCCCCUAGGUGGCUGAUGAUGGAAAAGAGAGUUCCAGAGGCAAGGGCAGUAUUGCUGCAGAUAAGCGAAUCGGAGGCUGAGGUUGAAGAAAGGCUGGCUGAGAUUGAGGAAGCUGCAAAUAUCAUGAAGUCGGUUAAUUCUGAGGACAAGGCGGUGUGGAGGGAGCUACUGAACCCUUCUCCUGCUGUUCGCCGGAUGCUGUAUGCUGGCUGUGGUAUUCAGUUGUUCCAGCAGAUCACUGGAAUUGAUGCUACUGUCUAUUACAGCCCAACAAUUUUCAGGGAUGCUGGAAUCAAGUCUGACCAGGAGCUGCUUGCAGCAACAGUUGCUGUUGGAUUUACUAAAACGAUUUUCAUACUGGUUGCCAUUUUCCUCAUUGAUAAAGUUGGGCGCAAACCGCUUCUGUAUGUCAGCACCAUUGGCAUGACAGUCUGCUUAUUUGCCUUGGGGACUGCACUUACAUUGCGAAAGCAUGCUGAGGGGCUUAUUUCUCCAAAUCUUGGGAUUGAUAUGGCAAUCUUUGCAGUUUGUGGGAAUGUGGCAUUCUUCUCGAUCGGGAUGGGACCGAUAUGCUGGGUCUUGUCUUCAGAGAUAUUUCCUAUAAGAUUGCGAGCUCAGGCAUCAGCACUUGGUCAAGUAGGUGGCAGAGUGGGCAGUGGUUUGGUUUCCAUGUCAUUCCUCUCCAUGGCCCGCGCUAUAUCCGUGGGGGGAAUGUUCUUCGUCUUUGCAGCAAUCUCGACCGUCUCCGUUGUGUUUGUGUACUUCUGUGUGCCAGAAACUAAAGGGAAAACUCUGGAGCAGAUUGAGAUAAUGUUUGAAGGUGGGAAGGAAUGGAAAGGAGGUGGCGAGGUCGAGCUUGAAGAUACACAGCAUUUGAUACAGGGUGACAAGAAAUCUUUCUCUCUAGGCUGA
rnacentral:rRNA from 1 species